rnacentral:rRNA from 1 species
UUGAACGCUGGCGGCAUGCUUUACACAUGCAAGUCGAACGGCAGCGGGGGCUUCGGCCUGCCGGCGAGUGGCGAACGGGUGAGUAAUGCAUCGGAACGUACCCAGUUGUGGGGGAUAGCCCGGCGAAAGCCGGAUUAAUACCGCAUAAGUCCUGAGGGAGAAAGCGGGGGACCGUAAGGCCUCGCGCAAUUAGAGCGGCCGAUGUCGGAUUAGCUAGUUGGUGGGGUAAAGGCUCACCAAGGCGACGAUCCGUAGCGGGUCUGAGAGGAUGAUCCGCCACACUGGGACUGAGACACGGCCCAGACUCCUACGGGAGGCAGCAGUGGGGAAUUUUGGACAAUGGGCGAAAGCCUGAUCCAGCCAUGCCGCGUGAGUGAAGAAGGCCUUCGGGUUGUAAAGCUCUUUCAGCCGGAAAGAAAUCGCGCAGGCUAAUACUCUGCGUGGAUGACGGUACCGGAAGAAGAAGCACCGGCUAACUACGU